GGGCGACGCUCACUAAAUCACCAAUUCAAGCUCCUCCGAUAUCACGCUAAACUGAGGGCAUGAUGUGUCCACUUGGGCUAAAAGCCGGUGUUAGGUUGCAGCGCAGUAGCAUCUGCCUAAUAGAUAUUGCAGAGUCUGAACACAAAUGGGCUUCUGUUAGUGUAGCCUAUGCUGUAUCACUUCACACCGCUCACAGUUUCCUGCCAUUGAUCAAGCCCCACCUAUUCAGCUGAUGGGCCGGAGGAGAAACCCGAUCACCUAACAAGAAAGUAGCUGAGGAGAGAGGAAGGAUAAAAUAAGAGAAAUGGUCGAAUGCAGGACAAGCCCUUCUUGCCAAUCAAGAGGGACUGAUCUGACUUGGUGUUUUGCAAAAAAGGCAAAUGGUGAAAUUCAUGCUUCAACAAUGUCAGCUUUGCUCCGCUUGCCUGUCAUUCAUCGGAAAGGCAGCAAAGCUUUGGUUGCAGCCAUUAAAAAAAUAAAAAUAAACAUACAGAUUCUCGAAAAGAAGAUACUGUGUCCUUACUUGUUCCUUCAUUUUCUUCCUGACCUUUCCUGUGAUCAGUUCUGUGUUACUCGCCUUCCCACCCUCUACCAUCUGGAACUUCUUGUGCCUGGUGCACGCUUGUUUCGUGUGGUGGUCGCCGCUGAUAACCUGACUGAGCGAGUCGCUUGAGCUUCGGAUGGGCAGGUUGCCAGCCUCCUCUUGGCUGAACCUAUGUUUGACCAAACGUAUGAGGAGUGGGUGUUUUUUAUUUCUCUUGGAGGGCUCACUCAAUGGCUGGUUCUCACUCUUUCUAACCUGCUCCGAGGCCUUUCGCAGCUCACAGAACAAGCCCUGACAGAACAAGCCCUUCUGUAUGCAGAGUCCUGCAAAAUGUUGUCUUUUUAAAAUGUGAAAAUCAAGGAAACAAAAUAG
ensembl:lncRNA